GACUCCAACAAACUGUUAUCAUGGCGGAUCCAAUCAGAACUCCGCACUUAAGCGUUCUUGGGCGAGAGUAGUACUCGGAUGGGUGACCUCCUGGGAAGUCCUCGUGUUGCACCUC
rnacentral:rRNA from 2 species